GUCCUGCUGGGAUGGAGUGUCCUCAGGUC
rnacentral:piRNA from 1 species